GUUUGAUCCUGGCUCAAGAUGAACGCUAGCGGCAGGCUUAACACAUGCAAGUCGAGGGGCAGCAUGUCCAGCAAUGGAUGAUGGCGACCGGCGGAAGGGUGCGUAACGCGUGAGCAACAUGCCCUAUACAGGGAGAUACACCAGGGGAAACUUGGUCUAAUAUCCCAUAUCAUUCAUUGAAGGCAUCUUUAAUGAAUUAAAGCUUCGGUGGUAUAGGAUUGGCUCGCGUGACAUUAGCCAGAUGGUGAGGUAACGGCUCACCAUAGCAAUGAUGUCUAGGGGUUUUGAGAGGAAGGCCCCCCACACUGGGACUGAGACACGGCCCAGACUCCUACGGGAGGCAGCAGUGAGGAAUAUUGGACAAUGGAUGGAAAUCUGAUCCAGCCAUGCCGCGUGCAGGAAGACGGCCUUAUGGGUUGUAAACUGCUUUUAUACGGGAGCAAUAAGGGUUACGAGUAAUCCGAUGAGAGUACUGUAUGAAUAAGGAUCGGCUAACUCCGUGCCAGCAGCCGCGGUAAUACGGAGGAUCCGAGCGUUAUCCGGAAUUAUUGGGUUUAAAGGGUGCGUAGGCGGCCAUUUAAGUCAGCGGUGAAAUUUUGCAGCUUAACUGUAACAGUGCCGUUGAUACUGUUUGGCUAGGAUUUGGUUGUAGUGUGCGGAAUGUGUGGUGUAGCGGUGAAAUGCUUAGAUAUCACACAGAACACCGAUUGCGAAGGCAGCACACUAAGUCAUUAUUGACGCUGAGGCACGAAAGUGUGGGGAUCAAACAGGAUUAGAUACCCUGGUAGUCCACACGUAAACGAUAUAGGUCGCUGUCGGCGAUACACAGUCG
rnacentral:rRNA from 1 species